AUGCUUGUUCAAGUAAGGGCAGUACCCAAGCACCGGUCCACCCACAUAUCUUUGAAGGGAGAUGCAUUGACAUGGUAUAGGCUAUGUGAUGAUACAGGAUCUUGGAAUUAUAAACGAUUGAAGUUGGAAUUUCACCAGAAGUUUUAUCCUAUGCAUCUUGUUCAUCGUGAUCGUAAUUACAUAUAUAAUUUCUGGCCUCACGAAGGAGAAAGCAUCGCUCAAGCUUGGGGGAGGCUUAAGUCAAUGUUAUAUUCAUGCCCCAAUCAUGAGCUCUCCAGAGAAAUGAUUAUGCAAAAAUUUUAUGCUCGGCUUUCUCUUAAUGAUCGCAACAUGCUCGAUACUUCCUGUGCUGGUUCUUAUAUGCUGAAGACUAUUGAAUUCAAAUGGGACUUACUGGAAAGAAUUAAAAUUGGGGUUCCGACGAUGGUAAGGAGCCAGGUAUGA
rnacentral:rRNA from 1 species